rnacentral:rRNA from 1 species
AUUGAACGCUGGCGGCAGGCCUAACACAUGCAAGUCGAACGAGUGGCGGACGGGUGAGUAAUGUAUGGGACACUGCCUGAUGGAGGGGGAUAACUACUGGAAACGGUAGCUAAUACCGCAUACCAUCAGAUGUGCCCAGAUGGGUUUCGCUUGUUUGUUGGGUAACGGCUCACCAAGGCGACGAUCCCUAGCUGGUCUGAGAGGAUGACCAGCCACCCUGGAACUGAGACACGGUCCAGACUCCUACGGGAGGCAGCAGAGGGGAAUAUAGCACAAUGGGCGCAAGCCUGAUGCGGCCAUGCCUAGUGUAUGAAGAAGGCCUUCGGGUUGUAAAGUACUUUCAGUGUGGAGGCGUUACCCGAAGAAGAAGCACCGGCUAACUCCGUGCCAGCCGCCGCGGUAAUUC